AUCACUCAGUGUACAACAUGGCUACAUCCCCUAUCUUGGGUGAAGUAUCUUCUUGCAUAAUUGAAACAGCCAGUCUACCAGAAACAAGGACAUGACACCAAUCUUGAUAUUAUCAUCUAAAAGGAGCGUGUGGCGUGAGCAGUUAUUGGUAUUAAGUCAUAACACUCAGUUUACAGUAUGGCUACAUCCCCUAUCUUGUGAGAACCAUCUACCAACAUAAAUGAAAGAGCUAGUCUACCAGAGUCAAGGACAUGACACACACCAAUCUUGAAAUCAUCUACAUGGAAUGUCGGGUGUAAAGAUUUAUUGUUAUUAAGUCAAAUCACUCAGUGUACAGCAUGGAUACAUCUCUCAUCUUGUAUGAACCAUCUUCCAGCAUAAAUGAGAGAGCUAGUCUACAUGUACCAGAGAAAAGGAUAUGACACCAAUCUUGAUAUUAUCAUCAGCAUGGAAUGUCUGUGACCAGUUAAUGGUAUUUAGUCAUAUCACUCAGUGUACAGCAUGGAUACAUCUCUCAUCUUGUAUGAACCAUCUUCCAGCAUAAAUGAGAGAGCUAGUCUACCAGAGAAAAGGAUAUGACACCAAUCUUGAUAUUAUCAUCAGCAUGGAAUGUCGAAAGUGAGCAGUUAUUGGUAUUAGUCAUAUCACUCAGUGUACAGCAUGGUUACAUACCCUAUCUUUUGUUAACCAUCUUCCAGCAUAAAGAGAGAGAGCAAGUCUACCAGAACCAAGGACCUGACACCAAUCUUGAAAUCAUCAUCAACAUGGAAUGUCUGGCGUGACCAGUUAUGGGUAUUUAGUCAUAUCACUCAAUGUACAGCAUGGAUACGUCUCUUAUCUUGUGUGAACCAUCUACCAACAUAAAUGAGAGAGCUAGUUUACCCCCGGGGAGGGGGGGGGGCCACUUACAUUGACGAGUGGAUACCAUGCGCGACCAAAAAAACUCGUAAAAAGGAUGUCUUUUUCACGAUAGGGCACGUUACGUACGUAACGUGAUAAGGGUGUCAAAAACACAAAAAUAAUGAAAAAAGGGUAUCUAUUUCGCUAGGUGUUUAGGGUCGAAUUUGCGGGGAUGAUAAAACAAAAUUAAAAUGUUUUAUAAAGGAUGUCCUUUUUGCCCCAACACUUCGUGUUUAGAGUCCGAUUUGCGCGAGGUGUAGAAGGUGGGGUCGUACUAAACCAAAUAAGGUAAAGCCGACGACCGAAGGACCCAUAACAUUAAAACAUUCCUGUACUUGUUUAGGGGUUCAUUUCAGGGAACAUUUGCCAAGAGUAUCGUUUUGUUACCAAUACUUGUUAAGGGUAGGGUUUCACACGCCAAUACUUGUUAAGGGGCGCAUUUUCAGAAUAUGGAAAUUACGUGUUUAGGGUGCUUUUCGAGACUCCAUGGUCGCGCAUGGUAUCCACUCGUGAAUGGAAGUGGCCCCCCCGGGAGUUUACCACAGACAAUGACAUUACACCAAUCUUGAAAUCAUCAUUUACAUGGAAUGGAUAGUGUGAGCAGCUAUUGAUAUUAAGGUGAGUUAUGAUCCAAAAAGUGCAUUGAAAACCUAGGCUCCUUAAACAAUUUACC